rnacentral:rRNA from 1 species
GACGAACGCUGGCGGCGUGCUUAACACAUGCAAGUCGAACGGAAAGGCCCUGCUUUUGUGGGGUGCUCGAGUGGCGAACGGGUGAGUAACACGUGAGUAACCUGCCCUUGACUUUGGGAUAACUUCAGGAAACUGGGGCUAAUACCGGAUAGGAGCUCCUGCUGCAUGGUGGGGGUUGGAAAGUUUCGGCGGUUGGGGAUGGACUCGCGGCUUAUCAGCUUGUUGGUGGGGUAGUGGCUUACCAAGGCUUUGACGGGUAGCCGGCCUGGUAGGGUGACCGGCCACAUUGGGACUGAGAUACGGCCCAGACUCCUACGGGAGGCAGCAGUGGGGAAUAUUGCACUAUGGGCGGAAGCCUGAUGCAGCAACGCCGCGUGCGGGAUGACGGCCUUCGGGUUGUAAACCGCUUUCGCCUGUGACGAAGCGUGAGUGACGGUAAUGGGUAAAGAAGCACCGGCUAACUACGUG